AAUUUUAUUUCGGUGAAAUUCUUAGUGGCGAACGGGUGAGUAACGCGUAGACAACCUACCUCUCUGAUGGGGACAACAUCGCGAAAGCGGUGCUAAUACCGAAUGAUGUAACUUUUCUGCAUGGAAGAGUUACCAAAGGCGGCCUCUAUUUAUAAGCUGUCACUGAGAGAUGGGUCUGCGUCUGAUUAGCUAGUUGGUGGGGUAAUGGCCCACCAAGGCGACGAUCAGUAGCCGGUCUGAGAGGAUGAACGGCCACAUUGGGACUGAGACACGGCCCAAACUCCUACGGGAGGCAGCAGUGGGGAAUCUUCCGCAAUGGACGAAAGUCUGACGGAGCAACGCCGCGUGAGUGAAGAAGGUUUUCGGAUCGUAAAGCUCUGUUGUUUGAGACGAAUGUGCAAUUUUUGAAUAAGGAAUUGUAAUGACGGUAUUAAACGAGAAAGCCACGGCUAACUACGUGCCAGCAGCCGCGGUAAUACGUAGGUGGCAAGCGUUGUCCGGAAUUAUUGGGCGUAAAGGGAGCGCAGGUGGGAAAGUCAGUCGAUUUUAAAAGUGCGGGGCUC
rnacentral:rRNA from 1 species